rnacentral:rRNA from 1 species
AAGACGAACCGUGCGAACGUUGUUCGGAAUCACUGGGCCUAAAGGGCGCGUAGGAGGGCUGUCAAGUCUGGGGUGAAAUCCCGCGGCUCAACCGUGGAACUGCCUCAGAUACUGACAGCCUCGAGGGAGGUAGGGGCGAGCGGAACUGUGAGUGGAGCGGUGAAAUGCGUUGAUAUUCACAGGAACUCCGGUGGCGAAGGCGGCUCGCUGGACCUCUUCUGACGCUGAGGCGCGAAAGCUAGGGGAGCAAACGGGA